AAUUGAUCUGUUUGUUGAUUUGUUUAAGCACAACACAGGUAAAGUUAACCUAGCUCGGUGUCAGUGCAACCACUCGAGUAUAGCCCCUUCUCAUAAUGAGAAUGUAUAUAACCCCAUUUCGGUUGGGUCCGGUAUAGAAUGAACUUAGAAUCAUGGAAUCGACUCGAUCAUCAGAUUUUCGAUUCUAAGUUCAUAACCCUAGCCCAUUGCCAUUUUGGGCGGAGCAUAUCUACUAAUUCUUUGAUUCCAGUUAGUAAAGCUGGAACUAAUCAAGAUCAAUAGGAAGAGGAGUUAGCUAUCCAUUCAUUUUUUUACAAAGUUCUGGAGUUUGAUUCCUUCUUUCUUGCUUUCAUAUUCAUAAUAAGAAAGGGAACCUCAAUCCAGGG
rnacentral:lncRNA from 1 species